CUCAGGGUCCUCAUCUGCAAGAUGGGAGGAAAGAGGAGAUCACAGGAAUUUUGUGAGGAAUAAAUAAAAGAAUGUAUAGAAAGCACAGAGCCUGUGUCUGGCAUGCAAGACUUGUUGAGUAAAUGUUAACUUUUCCUGUUUUACUGUGAAGUGGCAACAUGAGGUCCUGCACACAGCCAGGGUUCAGUGAAUAUGGCUAAGCCCAGAGUCCUUAUUGGGAGAAAGUGGCCAGAAACCAGGCUCAAACUCCAGUGCCUCAACUUCCUAAGCGUAUGCAGCUUGAAAGAACAUUACACCCCCUCAAAGGGGGUAAAGUCAGUGUGGGGGAUGACACUUCCCUUCAGGUUUGCUGGGGGAUGAGACGCUGCCUGUAAAGUGCUCAGCACAUAGUAGGUGCACAACAAAGUUAUUGUUCAUGUUGAGAACUAGUCUCAUGCCCAGACUGGGCUCACCUCAGAGGGGUCACACACAUUCCUUUUCUUCUGGGAAAUCAAGGUGAACUGGAUGAAUGGCUCAGCACCUUCUCACAUGCAGACCUGCUGGGAGUGGGAGGUGGACCUACGGGGUUCUGCACCAUCUGGAGCUCAUUUCAUGGACAGAAAGGAAACAGAAAGGCAGGCACGCUCUCCUGAGGGCCUACUAUGUCCAGAUGCUUUGCUUAAACAGAGAAUAUUUAUUUCUCAGUCACAAACUCAGGUGUGCAAAAAUGCAACUUUGUGUCCAGAACGCAGUUAACUCUGGUUUCCCACCCACUCCAUGUGCCUCACCACAGGCUGCUUAAUCCAGUUCUCUUCUGGCUGGAACUCAGGGAUUUAAGCUCUGAUUUGGGUUUGUAAUUCAGGUUUCCUCCUCCCUCUCUGGGUGGUGGAGGUGGGAUGCGGGGGAUGGGGGGCUCUCUUCUGGCUCUGCCCCUUCUCUCCAGCCUGGCUCCCUGGGUCUGAUGACUGCUCUACCAAACGGUGGCCUUGACCUCUGUCUGGUGCUGGCCCUGGAGCCCCGUGAGAUGUCAGCCUGGAUGUAGUGGGAGGUCUGCAGGAGCCCCGCUCAGGAAAUGCGGAUCCCUUGAGGCCCUCUGCAGGUUUUCACAGGCGCUGACACCCAGCGCUUUCAUCCUGUGUCCCAGGGUGGGAACAUCUGCAUCCCCAUAUUUCAGGAGUGCCGUUGCCUGUGCACCCACAAGAGGUCUCAUCUUAUCCUGGCAACAGCCUGUAGGGUUGGGAGCAGCUGCGAGCCAUUUGUGCAGGAGUGCCCGGGGAGAUGGUUACGUGCUUCAUCAUUCAAGCUUGCCCUCCCUCUCCUAGGUAGCACUGCCUUGAAACUACUCCUAGCAAGAAACACAGCUUCUGAUCAUGGGAGAACCUAUUUGCAUCACAGUUCACAAACAUGCUUUUAGACACUCUCCACUUCAGUGGAGGAAACAGAGCCCCAGCGAGGGGAAGAGACUUACCCAAGUCACGUAGCUAAGAGGCAAAAUCAGGAUUCAGACUCAGCCUCCCAGCGCUCACUCCACAGUGCCUUGUUGGCCCAGCCCUAGAAGGCCUCCUGGCUGGAGGCCAUUGCCUGAGCCUGGGGAUGACACAUAUGUCCACUGGAUGUCAUGAUUUCUCUACUGAAGCUAGCUGGACCUUCUUGGCAGUGACAUAGGAUUUUCCCCCUUCCUGGGGCAAAGCAGUCUCAUAUGGGACACUCAGGUGGUGGCUCUCCCUCCUUUUGGCUCAAAGACAGGAGGUAAGGCCUGCAUCCUGUUUUCCUAGGGUGGGGAAAGUCUGCACACAGGUGGAUCCACUCUUUCCUGGGGACCUGGGAUCAUUGCAGCCUUCUCCACCCCACAGGCCCCUCCACAGCCUCUGCCCAAAUCCCCUUUCCCGGACUCCAAGUUGUAUCACCUUAGUUAACGCUUCAUUCCCCAGGUGUCUAAGAAAAAAAUGUUCUCCCCAUGCAGUUUCUCCACCUGGGAAACAGGCGGCCUUCUCUCUCUCUACGUCAUCAAGUCAGUGCAGAGCGCAUGGAGCAGCAACGCCCUGCCCAGCUCUGGGCUGCCCGCUGCGUGCUGAGGAUCCAGAGACAAACCAGCCAUGCUCCUGGCUGAGCGGAAGGUCCUCCCGAGCCUGCACAGUCUGAACUUGCUGAGCAGCCUGAGCUGGCGAAGAUGCCCUCCUUUAGAGGAGCGUGCAGACUUGAUAAGGGAAACAGAUGGGCCAACAGAUAAUUCCCAGCAGAGGUGUGUUCAAACAUGAGGUAAUAACAGCUAACGCUUACUAGGCAUUUUCCAUGUACCAGACACGGUUCUAAGUGCUUUUCAUGUAUUAAUCAUUUGUUUCUCUCAACAGCCCUGGGGACUAGGUACUAAGCAGAUGGAGGAACAGAGAUGUAAGUAACUUACCCAAGAUCACACAGCCAGCAGAUCUGCACCGAGGCAGUGUGUCCAGCUUUUUAUCGUCAUGGUAUCCAGGUCUACUUUGGAAACGAGGCGGCUAUGCCUCAAAAGGGAAGGGUUCCCAGAGAGAGUGAUGUUGGACGUGGGCCUUGAGGAGGAAGUAGAGAAGUUUUAGAGGUAGAGGAGGCCACAGCAAGAUGCCCCAACAGCUGAAAGUGCCUGUCACGUGCCAAGAGUGGCAAGGGGUGGAGGUUUCCUGAGAGGGGAAGUGGAGGAGAGGCCGGCAGGGCCAGACUCUGAUCCUUUCUUGAAGGAGUGGCUUGGGUAGUCCGAUUUUAAAUGAAGAAAGAGCUCUCAGCGGGGUGCAGUGGCUCACGCCUGUAAUUUCAGCACUUUGGGAGGCCAAGGCUGGUGGAUCACCUGAGGUCAGGAGUUCAAGACUAGCCUGGCCAACAUGGCGAAACCCCGUCUCUACAAAAAUACAAGAAUUAGCCAGGCAUGAUUGUGGGUGCCCGUAAUGCCAGCUACUCGGGAGGCUAAGGAGGGAGAAUCGCUUGAUCCCAGGAGGCAGAGGUUGCAGAGAGCCGAGAUGGCACCACUGCACUCCAGCCUGGGUGACAGAGUGAGAUUCCAUCUCUAAAACAACAACAAAGAAAACGAAAACAAAACAAAAAAAAGAAGGAAAAAAAAAGGAAGAGCUCCCAGGCAGCUCAGUAGAGAAUGGCUUGAGAGGUGGGGGAAGAUUAGAGGCAGGGGAAAGUGGACACCUGCUGUUUCAGCCCCCUAGCACCUGCUCUUCCCCAGGAGACAACCUCCUUUGUUCUGAGGCCUGGUGUUUUCACUGAUGCUGACUGCUUGAGGGGUGGCACAUGACUCAGGUCUGGCCAAUCAGCCUCUUCCAUCCCCCUGGCUGCAGGGACUGGCUCAGGAGGGUGCAUGUGACCAGAGGCCGACCGAUGAGACUCAGUUCUGAGAUUUUUGUUAGACUUGUUGCAGAAAAGAGACUGUCUCCUGAGGUUGCUGAGCUGGGUAUCUCCACCAGGAGCUGCAGGGGCCAUGCUGUCACCAUGUGAAGACAGGUUGCUUGACAACAAAGUUGCAUUAGUUUCCUUGGGCAGCCAUAGCAAAGUAUCACAGACUGGGGAGCUUAAACAACAGAAAUUUAUUUCCCCACAAUUCUGGAGGCUAAGUCCAAGAUCAAAGUGUCAGCAGGGUUGAUUUCUUCUGAGGCUUCUCUUCGGCUUGUAGAUGGGUGGCUGUCUUCUUCUGGUGUCUUUACAUGGUCUUCCCUCUGUAUGUGUGUGUGUCUGUGUCCCAAUCUCCUCCUUUUCUUCUUCUCCUUUUUUUUUUUUUUUCUUUUGGGAUGGAGUCUCUCACUCUGUCCCCAGGCUGGAGUGCAGUGACCUGAUCUCGGCUCACUGCAACCUUCACCUCCUGGUUCAAGUGAUUCUCCUGCCUCAGCCCCCCGAGUAGCUGGGACUACAGGCACAAGCCACCAUGCCCAGCUAAUUUUUGUAUUUUUAGUAGGGACUGGCUUUCACCUUAUUGGCCAGGCUGGUCUGGAACUCCUGACCCUGUGAUCCGCCUGCCUUGGCCUCCCAAAGUGCUGGGAUUACAGACGUGAGCCACUGUGCCCCGGCCAUACACAACUCAUAAUGGAUUAAGGUCCACCUAAUGACCUCACUUAACCUUAAUUACCUCUUUAAAGACCCUGUCAGAAAAUAUAGUUACAUCUGAAGUACCCGGGGUUAGGAUUUCAACAUACUGGAGGUGGGAGGAGCACAAUUCAGCGCAUAACAGAAGCUAACACAGAAAAAAACACAGAGAUGGGGUAAGAGACUGAGGCUUGACUUUGUUUGAGCUCCUGGAUCCAGCUGUGCCUGAAGUUGAAACUAAUACUAUCCAGGACUCUUGAGUUUCAUGAUCCAAUAAGUACCUAAAUCCCACCUCUCCUUUUUUUUCCCCUCUUGAACCUAGUUGAGUUGGAUUUCUGUCACUUACAGUUAAAAUUCCUGAGUAAUACACAGGAGAACUAGUUAACAAAUUAUUAAAAUAGCCCACCCCUAAUUUAAUCACCAUGUGCAAGGACAGUGCUUGUAUGUACACCCAGGUAUGUCUAAUUCUAAUAGCUAGAGGUAGCAAAUAUGGUAAAAAUUGAGCCAAGUUUGCACUAGCCUCUUCCAUUAAGCAGGAAUUCCCACCUUAGCUCUGAAGCCAUGUAGGACAGGGCUGGAGAAACUACUAUUCCUACCAAUGUUUCUAAUGUGUGCAGUAGGCUGGGGUGCUGGCAGGGGAAAAUUAAAAAUGUAGUUUGGGUUAAAAAAAAAAGAAAAAGAGCUUUCUAGGCCAGGCGCAGUGGCUCACGCCUGUAAUCCCAGCAUGUUGGGAGGCUGGGGCGGGUGGAUAGCUUGAAUCCAGGAGUUUGAGACCAGCCUGCGCAACGUGGUGAAACCCCGUCUCUACAGAAAAUACAAAAAUUAGCCAGGAGAGUCGCUGUGUGUCUGCAAUCCCAGCUACUUGGGAGGCUGAGGUGGGAGGAUUGCUUGAACCCAGGAGGCGAUGGUUGCAGUGAGCCGAGAUGGCGCCACUGUACUCCAGCCUGGGUGACAGAGUGAGACCCUGUCUCAAAAUCAAUCAGUCAAUCAAUCAAUCAAACAAACAAACAAACAAAAAACAGCUUUCCAGAAGGGAAAAAUCAUUUUGGGAAGCUUUGAGUAGGGGCUGUGGAGAGUGGGCUCCAGACGUCACUUCAUUGGUUGGCAGGUGCUGUUAGGGGGUGCCCAGAGGGGAGCUCGGGGGAGCGGCGGCUUUCUUCCAGCAGAUAUGGACUCGGGCAGGAGCCACUGAGCAAGUACUCCGAUGGGCUGGGCUUCCUGAGGCUUCAUGCCUGGGCUGAGCAGGGCGGGGCUGUGGUCCACGUGGUGCCCAUUGGCCUCCCAAAAGGAAGGAGCGGGGAGAACUAGAAAUGUGGCUGGAAAAAGUCAGCAUCUCCCUCCUGGGCGGGCUCCCUGGUGGUCCCGGGAGCUGGCCAUGUCUGGAGGAGGAGGCUCCUCUAAGGUGUGCAGCUGCCUUUCUCAAUGCCGCUGAGUUGGAUUGGGAUCUCUUUCAAUGAGAGUGUUUUGAGGGACCCUCAGCUCCAUGCUCUGCUGGCUUCCUCCAGGGAUGCUGAGAGGUGGCCCUUCUAGUGGUAAGAUGAGGGGCCCAUGGCCUUGUGGAGUCAGACACACUGGCAUUCACUGAAAGCUCUGUGCCUGACCUACCUGGUGACUUGGGGCAAGUGACUUCACCUGACUGAGCCUCUUUCCUUCAUCACUGGCAAAAUGGAACCAACUUCACAGCCUUCUCCUGAGGCUUAAGUGAAACCAAGCAGUCAUAAAGGGAUAGGCUUUGGAGUCCCUGGGUUUGCAUCCCAGUUUACUAACUGAGCUGGGUGGCCUUGGGCAAGUCACUCACCCUCUCUGAGCCUCAGUGUCCUACUCUGUAAAAUGAACCCACCAAUGGUACUUAUUUCCUAGGGCAAAUGUGAGGAUUGACAGAUAAAACAUGUAAACUUCAUGAAAGCAAGGGGUUUUGUUAUUGAUUUAUCCCCUCUGCAGUUCCUGGGACAUAAAGACACUAAAUAAAUGGGAUCAGCUUUUAUUGUUAUUAUGAUUCACCGUCACCCAGCACUGGUUGAGGCUGCUCUCUGUGGCAUCCUGUAGACACACUUGUAUGUGAGUUUCUGGUCAGGAUGGGGAGGACAAGACCACUGUCUCUGGCACACUUAGCAAACUCUAUCUCCAGGGAUAGAGUAAGACUCCUAUGGUGCAGGAGGGGGCAUGAGGGAAGGCUAGGAGUGCCCUCUGCACUGUUUAAGCACCUCACUUGUGUCAUUUCACUGCACCCAUACCCACGCCCCAUGAACUAGAUUCAUUUAUUACCCCAUUUGACGAUGAGGAGGCUGAGGUUCAUCAAGGUAUAGCCAUUGAGAUCUUACUGCCAGGGAGAGGUAGAGCCAGGGUUCAAACCUGAAUUUGUACUGUUCCAAAUCCCUUUUUUAAAAAUUUUUAUUUUUAUUUUUUUUUUAUUUUCCCAGGCUGGAGUGCAGUGGGCAAUUAAGGCUGACUACAGCCCCCAACUCCUGGGCCCAGACAAUCCUCCCGCUUCAGCCUCCCAAGUAGCUGGGACCACAGACGUGUGCCACAGUGCUGAAGAGAGGGCAACUGUUUACUGCAAUUUUGAUAAAAUUCCCUUUCAAUACGGCCUGUUCCUGGAUAGAGUCCCACCUUUCAUCUGCUUUUAUUCCUAAUCCUGUGGCAAAGCCUGGACCUCCCUUUUCUUCUCAUACAAGCUCGACAGAGCUGGCAUUUUCCUUCUCCAUUUCAGUGACAUGUUUUUCAGUGUUUUGUCUGUUUGUGAAGGGGCAGAAAUGUCAAGGUCAAAAAAGUCUUGGAAAAAAUGAGUAGUAUUUCUGUACCUGCUGAGGGUUAGGUGCUUGGAUGUUAUAUAUCUCUGCAUUCCCACAGUAAAACCAUGUGUGGUUGGGGAGCUUUUCCUUUUUUAACCUCUCUGGGUGGUUGAGGAAUUGGAGGCUCAGAGAGGAGAAGUGACACAGCCCAAGGUGACGCCACCAGGAGCUGAACUUGAAAGCCAAGCCAAGUCCGUCUGACCAUCAAGCGUUGCUCCUAUAAUCAUACUACCUUGCCUUCUGCCUUUGUAAACAUGAGGUGACACAUCAAGCUAGGGCUAUUAAAAUACCCAGAAGCACUUUUCUUCCAAAUAACUCACAAUAUCUUGUCUUUGGGAAGUAUUCAAUAGGUUUAUUUCAGUAAAAGAUACACCAUUGCCAUGGUUUUAGGGAGUGAUUCUGAAUUUUAUGUUACUGAUUAAGAAAGAUGGUUAAUGGAACCUGUUUCCUUAAGAAAUUUACAUCAUAUAUUAGUAAGCUGUUGCUGUGUAGCAAAUCACACCAACACUUAGUGCCUUGAAGUAACAACAUGUAUUAUCUCACAAUUUCUG
rnacentral:lncRNA from 1 species